rnacentral:rRNA from 1 species
GAAGCAGUGUAUGUCAGACUUCCAAGAAAAGCUCGCAAUGUCACAAAUAAGAAAUGCCUGUACCAUAACCGACACAGGUGGGUAGGUAGAGUAUACUAAGGGGCGCGAGAUAACUCUCUCUAAGGAACUCGGCAAAAUGACUCCGUAACUUCGGGAGAAGGAGUGCCUUAUUUAUAAGGUUCAAUAACAAGAUCCAAGCAACUGUUUAUCAAAAACACAGGUCUCCGCUAAGUCGUAAGACGAUGUAUGGGGGCUGACGCCUGCCCAGUGCCAGAAGGUUAAAGAAGUUGGUUAGUGUAUGCGAAGCUGAUGACUGAAGCCCUGGUGAACGGCGGCCGUAACAAUAACGGUCCUAAGGUAGCGAAAUUCCUUGUCGGGUAAGUUCCGACCCGCACGAAAGGCGUAAUGAUUUGGAUACUGUCUCGGAGAGAGGCUCGGUGAAAUAGACUUGUCUGUGAAGAUGCGGACUACCUGCACCAGGACAGAAAGACCCUAUGAAGCUUUACUGUAACUUGAAAUUGGAAUUGGACUUUGCUUGCGCAGUAUAGGUGGGAAGCGUUGAAAAUAUUCUUGCGGGAGUAUUGGAGCUAUCAGUGAGAUACCACUCUUGUAAUGUUAGAUUUCUAACUUUGAACCAUAAUCUGGUCAAAGAACAGUUUCAGGUGGGCAGUUUGACUGGGGCGGUCGCCUCCCAAAUGGUAACGGAGGCGUACAAAGGUUUCCUCUGAACGGAUAGAAAUCGUAUCUAGAGUGUAAAGGCAUAAGGAAGCUUGACUGUGAGACCUACAAGUCGAGCAGGGACGAAAGUCGGUCUUAGUGAUCUGACGGUACUGAGUGGAAAGGCCGUCACUCAACGGAUAAAAGUUACUCUAAGGAUAACAGGCUGAUCUCCCCCAAGAGUUCACAUCGACGGGGAGGUUUGGCACCUCGAUGUCGGCUCAUCGCAUCCUGGGGCGGUAGUACGUCCCAAGGGUUGGGCUGUUCGCCCAUGAAAGCGGUACGCGAGCUGGGUUCAGAACGUCGUGAGACAGUUCGGUCCAUAUCCGGUGUAGGCGCUAGAAUAUUGAGAGGAGCCUUCUUUAGUACGAGAGGACCGAGAAGGACACACCGCUGGUGUACCAGUUAUCGUGCCAACGGUAAACGCUGGGUAGCUAUGUGUGGAGUGGAUAACCGCUGAAAGCAUCUAAGUGGGAAGCCCACCUCGAGAUGAG